rnacentral:tRNA from 1 species
GGGGAUGUAGCUCAGAUGGUAGAGUGCUCGCUUAAUAUGCAAGAGGCACUGGGAUCAAUACCUAGUAUCUCCA